rnacentral:rRNA from 1 species
UACGGAGGGUGCAAGCGUUAUCCGGAUUCACUGGGUUUAAAGGGUGCGUAGGCGGACAGGUAAGUCAGUGGUGAAAUCUCCGGGCUUAACCCGGAAACUGCCGUUGAUACUAUUUGUCUUGAAUACUGUGGAGGUAAGCGGAAUAUGUCAUGUAGCGGUGAAAUGCUUAGAUAUGACACAGAACACCGAUUGCGAAGGCAGCUUACUAUGGUGUCAUUGACACUGAGGCACGAAAGCGUGGGGAUCAAACAGG